UGGGGAAUUUUGGACAAUGGCGCAAGCCUGAUCCAGCCAUGCCGCGUGCGGGAAGAAGGCCUUCGGGUUGUAAACCGCUUUUGUCAGGGAAGAAAUCUUCUGAGUUAAUACCUCGGGAGGAUGACGGUACCUGAAGAAUAAGCACCGGCUAACUACGUGCCAGCAGCCGCGGUAAUACGUAGGGUGCAAGCGUUAAUCGGAAUUACUGGGCGUAAAGCGUGCGCAAGGCGGUUUUGUAAGACAGAGGUGAAAUCCCCGGGCUAACCUGGGAACUGCCUUUGUGACUGCAAGGCUUGAGUGCGGCAGAGGGGGAUGGAAUUCCGCGUGUAGCAGUGAAAUGCGUAGAUAUGCGGAGGAACACCGAUGGGAAGGCAAUCCCCUGGGCCUGCACUGACGCUCAUGCACGAAAGCGUGGGGAGCAAAACAGGAUUAGAUGCCCUGGUAGUCCACGCCCUAAAACGAUGUCAAC
rnacentral:rRNA from 1 species